UUCUCGAAUUUAAAAGAGUUAAUAAUUUUAUUAUAAAAAAUAUUUAAGAUAUGAAAUUAAAAGUUAAUAUAUCUAGUUUUUUAAGAAAAUUUAAUUUUAUUAAAUUUUUAGGGAUGAGCUUAAAAUAGGAUUAGAAAUUUUGUUAUAAUUAAUUUAUUAAAAUUAUAGUAUAAAUUUUUUAAAAGAAAAUGAUAAAAUUAGUAUAAAAUAAAUUUAAAGAAUUCGGCAAAAAUUUUUCACCUGUUUAUUAAAAACAUGUCUUUUCGUUAAUAAUUUAAAGUCUAACCUGCCCACUGAGGCCGCGGUAUUUUGACCGUGCAAAGGUAGCAUAAUCAUUAGUUUUUUAAUUGAAAGCUAGAAUGAAGGGUUGAAUGAAAAAAUAACUGUUUCAAAUUUAUAAAAUUUAAUUUUUAAGUUAAAAAGCUUAAAUAUAUUAAAAAGACGAGAAGACCCUAUAGAGUUUAAUUUUAAUUGGGGUGAUUGAAAAAUUUAAAUAACUUUUGAUUAUUAGAUAAAAUUACCUUAGGGAUAACAGCGUAAUUUUUUUAAAAGUUCUAAUUGAAAAAGAAGAUUGCGACCUCGAUGUUGGAUUAAAAUUAGUUUUGGUGUAGAAGCU
rnacentral:rRNA from 1 species